CGGACGGGUGAGUAACGCGUGGGUAACCUGCCCUGUACACACGGAUAACAUACCGAAAGGUAUGCUAAUACGGGAUAACAUAAGAAAUUCGCAUGUUUUUCUUAUCAAAGCUCCGGCGGUACAGGAUGGACCCGCGUCUGAUUAGCUAGUUGGUGAGGUAAUGGCUCACCAAGGCGACGAUCAGUAGCCGACCUGAGAGGGUGAUCGGCCACAUUGGAACUGAGACACGGUCCAAACUCCUACGGGAGGCAGCAGUGGGGAAUAUUGCACAAUGGGCGAAAGCCUGAUGCAGCAACGCCGCGUGAGCGAUGAAGGCCUUCGGGUCGUAAAGCUCUGUCCUCAAGGAAGAUAAUGACGGUACUUGAGGAGGAAGCCCCGGCUAACUACGUGCCAGCAGCCGCGGUAAUACGUAGGGGGCUAGCGUUAUCCGGAUUUACUGGGCGUAAAGGGUGCGUAGGCGGUCUUUUAAGUCAGGAGUGAAAGGCUACGGCUCAACCGUAGUAAGCUCUUGAAGCUGGAGGACUUGAGUGCAGGAGAGGAGAGUGGAAUUCCUAGUGUAGCGGUGAAAUGCGUAGAUAUUAGGAGGAACACCAGUAGCGAAGGCGGCUCUCUGGACUGUAACUGACGCUGAGGCAC
rnacentral:rRNA from 1 species